ACGACUUCAAUAAAUACGUUGAUAUGUUAUACUCUCUGAAAAGUUAUACAAACACUUGAUUUGCAAGGAUGUCUCACCAAACUACCAAAUUAACUGUUUAAUGACCCAGAAAAAGCGAAUCCACUGUGAAAACCGAAUAAAUUAAGAAAAUUUAGUAUUUAAAAAUCAAAUUUUAACAACUCUGUAGAAUGAAAGGAUUUUACCCUUUUACAAUGGUAUAAGCUACAAUGGACCAUAGACGGAAGUGGUCAAAGAGAUGAUUAUAUAGGAUGAUCAAUGCUCGAUGCAUGAUGUCAUCGACAAGGAGGCUGUAAUUAUAUCGAUAAACAGAAUAACGAGAGUUAGUGAAAUUUAAUACAUGGCCGAUUUUGAUGUAAAUAAAGGUUAGUGGACUUGCGAAGAAAGACAGACACAAUUGAGAAAAUAAAAAGAAAAAUAUUUUAAAAAAAAGAAACAAUACUAAAGAAAAUUGACUUGCAAAUGAAUUGUGAGAGACGUGGAUACAAAAGACGAAAAAGCAUCGGUGAAUUUAAAAGAACCAAAAAUGAGGCGAACAAUU